AAAGGGCUGCAGUAUUGUGACUGUACAAAGGUAGCAUAAUCAUUAGUUUUUUAAUUGGAAACUUGUAUGAAAGAUUUGAUGAAAUAUUAACUGUCUCUUGUUUAUUAUUAGAAUUUUAUUUUUUAGUAAAAAAGCUAAAAUAAUUUUAAAAGACGAGAAGACCCUAUAGAGUUUUAUAUUUGAUUUUAUUUUAAAUUUAUAUUAAAGUUAAUAUUAAAAUGAAAUUUAAUAUUAUAUUGGGGUGAUAGAAAAAUUAAAAUAACUUUUUUUAAAUAAUAAACAUAAAUAAAUGAUUAAUUGAUCCAUUAAUAAUGAUUAUAAGAAAAAAUUACCUUAGGGAUAACAGCGUAAUAUUUUUUUUUAGUUCAAAUAAAAAAAAA
rnacentral:rRNA from 1 species